rnacentral:rRNA from 1 species
GAGACAGGUGCUGCAUGGCUGUCGUCAGCUCGUGUUGUGAAAUGUUGGGUUAAGUCCCGCAACGAGCGCAACCCUUAUCGUCUGUUGAAUUUUUCAGACGAGACUGCCCGGGCCAACCGGGAGGAAGGUGGGGUCGAAGUCAGGUCAGCAUGGCCCUUACACCUCGGGCCACACCCGUGCUACAAUGGCCGAUACAACGCGUCGCCAACCCGCAAGGGGGAGCUAAUCGCAUCAAAAUCGGUCUCAGUUCGGAUAACAGGCUGAAACUCGCCUGUUUGAAGCUGGAAUCGCUAGUAAACGUGGGUCAGCAUACCACGUUGAAUACGUUCCCGGGUCUUGUACACACCG